GCAUUCAAGCAAUUCUCCUGCCUCAGCCUCCCAAGUAGCUGGGAUUACAGAUCUCCAAAGAUACUGGGAAAGCUCUGGUGGCAGAUCUCUUCUUCCAAGGAAGCCUCCUUAACUCUCCAUGAUCGCAGCAAGGGGACACAAAGUGAAGAAGGCCUUUGGGGACCCCUGUGUCUUUCCCUUCUUUGCCUGAACAGCGUUAUGUUUGCUCACAUGUGUGUAUUUUUGCUUUGACAUUGGAUGUGGGGCAGGGGUUUGGGGAGCACAGUGAGGAGGUAUAUGGUGUGUGUGUGUGUGUAUGUCUGAGAGGCUGACUGAUGAUGAGCCUGGGGGCCUGGUGGCAGCUGUCCUGGUCAUCCCUGGCAUAUCCUUGGGGCAGGUGGCAGAUCUGAAGUCACAGAUACAUAGAGCAAGAAUGGGCCUGUAGGGCUUAUCUGGGUCAAUCCACAUGCUUACAUGGGGGGAAAAUUAAGGGCCAGAGAGGCCAUGCAGCAAGGAAUUCCAGAAUCCAGUCCUAGAUUCUAGACGGGUGCCCUUCCCAUGCAUUCGAGUGGUGUGUGCGUGUGUGUGUGUGUGUGUGUAUGCGUGCAUGUGUGUGUUCAUGUGUGUGCUGUGUUGGAAGGGUGUGAAUGAACACAAAGGCCAGUGUGGAGUUGUUGUAGUCCAUGGCUGUGGAGGGCAUGAGUCAAUUUCCUUUGAGUCACGCCCCUGGCUAUGUAUGGGAUGCAAGGGUUGAGACUGAGUGUGUCCCUGUGAGUGACUGCGGUGCUGGGCUAAGUGGACUGUGUAUGUGUGUGUGAACGUGCAUGCAUGCGUGCGCGUGGGGCGUGUGGUCUCUUUCUUUGUUGGAUUCUGUCUUCCCCCAUUCACAGCACCUUCCUGGUCUGAGGAAGCCACCUUUCCACCACAGAGACCUCCUACAGCUCACUAGGACCUUCCCCUACUCCCUCCAACCUUCAAGCCCAGCUCUCACCUCUCACGACGGUUUUGCUUUGUUUUUGUAAAUGGAUUUGUAUAUUCGUUUUCUGUUUUUUUUUCUUUACAAGUUCCCUGCUAAAUUUUAAGUCCCCCACCCCACCCCAUUUUUUGUUUUCACAGUUUAAAGCUGGAAAAGAAUUAAAAGAAAAAUACUAUCUGAUUUUCUUGCAAGUAAAUCCACUUAUUUUAUAUUUACAUUUAUUUAUAGUCUGUGGUUUUUUUAUUAAAAAAAAAUCACCACUUGUUUUUCCUUUUUCUUUUGUAAAAAGAAACCUUUUUGCAGUGUCAUUGUUGAACCCGCUGGGCCCCAAGAGGGCAUCAGUGAGUCCAAGGACCCCCAAAGGGUCAAUGAACCCCCUUCCCAGGGAACUGGGGGGCUUAUGAGUCUGGGGGUCCACCAUCACCCCAGGGUCAUCAGGCGGCCCUGAGGUGAGGGGUGAGGAGGGAGAGCUGUUUCACGUCCCCCGGGGGUUGGGCGUCUCCUGACCCCAAGGACAGGAGCUUGGGGACAUGACCCCAAGAGGCUCACCCUGAGGACCCCAGGGUUUCCAGCAUCUUGGUAAGCCACCGGCAACCUCCCCUCUCCUUCCCCUUCCUCAAGGCCUAGGAAGUCAUCACAGUGGGUUAAGGACCAUUAAGGACUGGGAACCUGGGGCCAGGCAAGCCCCAAGUGUACCCCCCUCCAGGCACCCUAACGGAGAGGAGGGACAAGGGCUCGGUCACCUGGAGGCCUACAAUUGCCCCAUCAAUGCUGGGCGGAGCCGGCUGGAGCCCUGAGCCUUCCCCGCAUUCCUGGGGCACCCACCCAGGGGCUCCAGGGACCUGGCAGUGACUGCAGGCUCACCUGGCCCCAGGGCCCCUGAGUCUCGCCCCCCACUCUCCCAGGGAGGCAGGGCCCGCUGGGGGUUAAAGGGAACAGAAAAAUAACUCUCCCGGCGUUAAAAAAAAAAAAAAAAAAA